UGGCAGAGUAAACAUUUCCAAAAUAUAACAAAAAGAAGAAAAAAUGAUAACAAGAAAACAUGGCCAUUAAGAAAACGUUGGCGCCUGGCUUUGGACCCCGGUGCAAUAAUUUCGAUUUGAUAACCCCGCUGCGACUGCAUCGUAAACGGGCUAAAUCGUGCACGCCAGAAAUUUGUUCGGUCAACGCGGUUCAUUUGCAGCCCGAUUGCGAGCCCCUGAAAUUGAAUUACGGCGGGAAUCUCGUCCAGAAGACGGAUCAUGAUUUAUUAUGAUUAACGGAACAUGCCUUUCGAUUGCAAGCAACACACCAUAGUUAUUCCAUUUGUAUCAGUAAUGUCAUAAAAUCACAAUAUAGCCGCUGCCCAAUUAGCUUACCUAGGUUUUGGAUUAAAUCUGCUGAAUGGAGGUUAACUAAAAGAUUUCAGAACACUUUUAUCUCAUUAUAAAAUGUAUGUUUUAUUUUACAUUUUGUUGGCUGACCCUGUUUGCUAGUGUACUUCACGAUCACAAUAGCAACAAGUGCAGACCACUUAGUUCUAAAUUUGCAGCUUAACUAAUCCGGAUACAAUCACAGGUAUAGAUACGAAUACAGCUGCAAGAGCAAAACUCGCGCUGCGCUUGCGCCCUUGCGCCGCCUUGAGCGGCCAGUUAGUCAUGCCCGCGAAAUUAUAAAUAAUAUUAAUUAGCCAUUAAUUGGACAUUUACGUCCGAUUUGCAUGGCAGCCAAAAAAAAUAAUUUUACUUUUAAAUUUUCCAGCAUUGCCGAUGUGAUCCGCAUUUAAUGGCAUUCAAUGUCAUUAGCUGACGGCUGUGCGUUUGAAUUAUUCCCGGAAGGCAGUCGACAAAGAGCCGGUUGGCGGAGCACCUUCCACAUCUUACAGCUCCUGCACCUCACCGCCAACGCCUUGUUUGCCCUGAGCCUGCCGCUCCAGCUUCUCCUGCUCCAUGUUCUCCAGCUGGGCGAGGGUCAGCAGCGAGAUGCCCAGCUGAUCCUCCCGGGUGAACGGUUGCGCCAUACGCCUCAGCCAACGGCGGGCCAACUGCACGGCCUCCUCCGUGCUCAGGUUGCAGAAGCUGUCCACCAAGUGCUCUUGGAUCCACUUGGGCAGACGCGACCUUUUGUCGUGGCGCGAGAAGCGCUUGUCCGCGAAGAUCAUGAUGCCGUAGUCCGUCUUGCCGCGCAGCGCACGGCCCACGCACUGUGCCGCAUGACGCAUGGCAUCGAAGGUCAGGAAGUCGUUCUCACGUAUCUGAAACUGAUCCCGCAGGUAGUCCAACCGGGCCUUCAGAAUCCGCGACUGCGUGUACACGUAGGGGAUGCCGAACAUGAGCACCGCGCGACCAUAAUGAUGGUCGAAAUCCACACCCUCGGAGACCUUGCCACGCGCCACAGCCAACAGCACUGCUCCACGACCACAAUCGCAAGCCUGCAAGUCGAAAUGGGAGGAUUGAUUGGGGUUAGUCAACUUUACAAGCAAUCUGUGUAUACCCUAUUCAUUAAGCGAUUGAGUUCAAUAUCGUAUUGUGAGCAAACAUAACAUUUAAAAACCACAAAAUGGGAACAUCAUUGCGUUCUAUUGUUUAUAUCCAAAUGCUCAUCGGACUUGUCGAAAAAUGUCAUGUGAUCUAAGAAAGAGUGAAAAUCCCUGCGUACUAAUGGAAUCAACAUGAUCCAACCACCAAGGGCGCGGAUCAUAAUGAGAGCGAGGCUGCUGUGUCAAGCACAUUUGUUCAUCAGGGCGUAGCUCGUCUCGGCAUUGUCCUGAGUCUCAAUGAAUAGAAGCUUGUACCGCAGCAAGGUGUCGACGAUUCCCUGAUCAUACCAGGAGGCCACCACCGACUCCAAGUACAAAUACGAGGUGAAGAAGCAUA